UUUUUUUUUCCUCCCCCGUUCCCUCCUCCUCCUCCUCCUCUUCUUCCCUUCCUGGAUGCGAGGGGGCGGGCGGGAGCCGGGGGAGGUGGAGUCUGUGCCCGCGGUGAGCGGCACGUGGCUCUCCGGGCUGGCACCGCUACCGCUGCGGGUCGUGGGGCGGCCCGGAGCUCUCGGCUCCCUCCUGCAGCAUCCCAUAGGCUUCCCAAGCGCUCAGCUCCAUCCCCAGCCUUGUGCUUCGGAGCGAACGCUCUGCAUCCCGCUCACACUCUCAUCCCCGGCCCCGCAAGGUGCGCCCGCAUCCCAAAGCAGUGGCCGCCCGGCUUUCUGCUCCGUCCCAUCAGUCUUGUGAUGGUAAUUUCAUCAACGGCUUAUAUAAGGGUUGGAUAACACAAACACGGCAACAUAUGGUUCGUGCGAGAUAGCAACGUGUGCCUCCGUAACGUGUUACAAUGGCUUGUGUGUGGCUCAGCCCCGCUGCCUCUGCAGACCCCCAGCAAAUGCCUCUGUGCUGGCAUAAAUGAGCUGCGCUGUGUAUGUAUGUUCUGUCUUAUCCAACAGUGUUAUUGGAGGGGGAUUAAAACAUCCCUUCCUUUGCACAAAAUAAUGGACUCCAGAGCACCAGAGUACAGGGAUAAUUGGCAUGUUAGAAAUAACAGGCUCUCUAGACCUAUUUAUAUGUUUAGUUGCGAAUACAAAUGAAUAUGUGCGACCUAAGGUGAAUGUUCUUUUCCAGUUCCUUGCAUCCUUUUGAUCUGUGCUUAGCAAGGCUUUAGGUGACUCCACGUGCUACAGGAGUCCCAUUUGCUGGAGGUUAUGUGGAAACGUUAAACAAAUUGACUUUGCUGGCUGAAACUUGUUUUCUUUGAUGGGGAGCAGUGGUGGACUAGAGGAAAUAGCAAAGUUGAAAGGAAAACCAAAAACACAUAUUCUGGAAACUCGCUUCUGUGACUGGUUUUUAAAUCAUUUUCCUCUUCAAUUUCUCUUCCAACCAACCAGCUCUACCCAAGUGCAAGCAAAAGUUUUUAUUUCAGAGGUCACGGGCUUAUGUAAGUGGUUGGACGACAAGUGGUAACAGGAGUGGUAGAGCGUGAUAACUUCUUUACCCAGUGCACCAGAGCUGGAAGAGAGACUCAUCAGCUGUGGGUGUUUGGAGACAGUGAGGAACGUGGGGUGACACAGGUGAGUGGAGACGCUGGGUUUAAAGACAUCAGGGAGGGCGGAGGGUGUUUGGACAAAAAGUGAAAGCGCAGCAAUUUGCCACUCUGAGAAAUGAGCCCGUAAAAAUGGCGCCUCUGCUUUCACAGAAAAGCGAACCCAAGUGCAGAAGCCUUAUGCUGUCGUGGUUUUAACAUCUGCUGUCUUGGUUUUAAUCUAGUCAGUGCAAAGUCCUGUUGCAAUGCAAGGGUGAAGAGCAAGUAUGGAAGGCCACAGAAGCCGAAGCUGUACUCCUGGAUGGCUUGCCUCCCCACACUGAAAAACAUCGCUUUGUAGAGUUGAAAACUUUGCCUGGAGCUUUUAGUCAGAGACAGGAUUUGUACUGAAUUUAGAGUUAACUCUGUGAAACUACCCAGCCCUGAGCCACCAACAUGAGUUACCAGGGCAGUGUUUGAGUGUCCUCAGCUUACUGCUUGUGUGCUUUAGUGAUAAAAACAGGCUUCUCACUGUCACUGCCACUUGUUAGAGCUGUGGAGUGGGGGCAGUGAGUGGAAGGAAAAGUAAAUGUGAUUCACUCCUGUAGUUCUGACAGCACUGUUUUCUACCUGUCAGGACCAGCCUGGUAAUGCUGUUACACAAAACUCAGCAAAGAAGGCACCUGGAGGCAGUACUUUGUUGCUUCUGUAGCUGACAAUGGGAACAAUCGUCACCAGUGGUCAUGGGCCUCACUGUCAGGUCCCAGCAGAUUUUGGGUAAUCUCUGAGCACACUUGCUGUGUGAGACUUUGGAGAAACAGCAAAUAUGCAAUCUUACAAAUGUUUGGGUUUUUAUUUCUUCUCUUCCCAAAGUCUCUUUGUGGAAUAGAAUUGCUUUUUAGUCGAGGAAAUAGUUGUAACAUUGAAGGAAAACUUGGAAUGUGAAUUUAAUAAUCCUUCUGCUUAAAAAGGAGCAUUUAGCAGAAAUAAAGUAGAGAGAACUUAAACGCAUUUCACUGAAAGCCAUAGUCAGGAAUGGAAAUUGGACAAGGACGGUGCAAAUUCUUUAUGAAAGACUAAUGCUGCAUCUGGAUAGUAAAGGCCUGUUCCAGUGCCAGACCCCAACCUUCAGUCUGUUGUAAAUUUAGGCUGAUUCUCAGAAAUGCUAAGUACUCGCUUCCCAUUGGAAAACUUUCAGGAGGCUGAGUGUUUUAUUUUUCUGGGCCUCCUUUACUAAUUGAGUAUAAAAGCUUGUCGCUAACCUGCUUGUCAUCUUUGACAAACAGAUACCCUGGAAGUGCACAGGUCCACGGUUGUCUCUUUAUGAAGAACCUAACUUUGUUUUUUUGCCUUGUUCUAAGGUAUGCACCAACAGUAGCCGGUGAAUGUAAAACCAAAUUCUUGCAUGGCGAUUAUGAAGUGGGAGAGAGUUGUGAUUGCCUAACAUUACGGCUGGAGCAGCGUGAGCAAGAUCCCAUGUGGAUGAGCAGAAGCAGAUACCCGCAGCCGAGGUGAAAUGUUGCCUGCACGAAUCAGCUGACAUGCAGAUCAUAAGGGCACAGAACCUCAUUAUUUAAGAUGUCAGAGGUGUGGCACACGCGGUGUCGAUGCGCCUGCUGUACUGCCUGGAGCGGUUCCUGAGAUCACCGGAAGCUUCAUGAGGAAUAAAGCACAUCUGAUGCGGGACACAGCAGCGCUUUCUCUUGUGCUGGAGGAUGGGCACUCCAGCAGGACAGACUGCCAGAGGAACAACAUCUCUACUCUGACUCCUUCUGACAGGACUGAUGGAGCCGUUUUUCUGGUGAAUUUGCACUCAAAUUUCCUUUAACUCUCAACAGGGGGAAAGAACUGAGUCGUGACCUUAUGGUCCGAAUGUGAGCAGACAACCUGUUGCAGUGAACACACGCAGAGGAAAGAACAGCCAUGAUUCAAGGCAGCGGGAUCCUCAACUCGAGGUCAUCGUUUUUUGUGAAGGCAGGGGGUAAUGGCUGGCUGUCACCCAUAGGAUUAUAUCCUGCUGUUCCUGGAGUGGCCUGAAAUGAAACCUCUAAUGCCAGCAGGGAUAAACUCCAGGGCAGGGGAGGCUGGGAUGUCUGUGUCCCACUGACCUUCAUGCUGCCAGCCUGGAGUUUUGUGGAGCCUCGGUGUUGGUGCUUGUUGUGAGGUUUUUGCUAUCAGGUCCAGAAUUCAAUGGGGAUUGAAAUAGUUGCCCCUGUACUGCAGAUCCCUCACCAAAAUCAUAGCUGAGGGUUCCCUGUCCUGCUGGAGGUAUCAUGGAAAAGGUUUACAACCCAGCGCUUAUUUCCAAGAUGUGUAGUUUGGUUAAAAAAAAAACCAACCAGUUAGAUUCACAAGCUUAUUUUAUGCUGGAUUUAAAGCAGUGUGUUCUUCUAGGAAUGCAGCAUGAAUAAAUGCAAGCUCUAAAUUAUGCUGACCUUUCAAUUAGAAAUUUUCCACCACCUAUCAUUCCAGGACAAAUAUUGAUUGAACAGUCCGUGUGUGUGUGUGAAGCGCGGCCUGACACCCGGUGUGACCUUCCUCUUCUGCCUCUGAUUCACCAGUGGUGGCUUUAAGCUUCCUUUUGUACCAAAACCUCGUUUCAUAACUGAACUCCCUGCUCUUUGGAACCUGAGUUUCUUCGUUUGUUUGCUCAGCGAGCUGAGAUCUGUUGGGAUAUUUCUGUGUUUGUUUUGGUUGUUAGCUUUGUUGCCGUCUGAAAUGGCCCGGGGCUGCUUUGUUCAAGGCCAUUUUUCUGGAAGGGUUUUGUUCUGCACAAGUUUGUGGGUAUCACCCGUGUGAUUUCUGCUCCAUUGUGUGCUGCUCGCCCGCUCAGGGCCAUAUUGUGUUUGCAUGUGUGCAUGUGUGCAGCUCUCAGCAUCCACCGAGCAUGGGAAAAUGUCUUUGCACCGGGAGAUUUCAUCGCUGAAUUUCCAUCUCUCCAAAUCCUAUAGAAAAUAUUGUAUUUUGAUCAAUUUUAUAAAUCAAAGAAUCGUAGAAUGGCUUAGGCUGAAAGGGACCCUAAAGAUCAUCUAGCUCCAACUCCUGAAUGCUCUUAAAAAUAUCAACGAACAGCAUUAGCCUUCCUCAGACUGUGCUGUUUUCGGAGCAGAAACAAAGUCAUAUAUUCCAGUCGCAAUGUAGCAGGUUUAUUCAACCAUGGAUUCUCCAAAGGCUGGGUUUGGCCUCAGUGUUUUUAGUAAAAGCACCAUUUAAUAUCACACAAUCACAGAACUGCAGGGGUUGGAAGGGACCUCUCAGAUCAUUGAGUCCAACUCACUCUAAUGCAGCUUCCCUGUAGUAGGUCGCAUGGGUAUGCAUCCAGAUGGGUCUUGAAUAUCUCCACAGAAGGACACUCCACAACCUCUCUGAGCAGCCUGUUCCAGUGCUCCAUCACUCUGACAGUAACCAGUUUCUCCCUUGUGUUAGUAUCGAACUUCCCGUGUUUCAGUUUCUGCCCAUUGCCCCAUGUUCUAUUGCUGCACACCACCCUCAUCAACUUGACUCCCACACCAUAGGUAUUUAUACACAGUUAUGAGAUCCCCUCACAGCCUUCUCCAGAUGGAAGAACCCCAGGUCUUUAGGUAUCUUAGUCUAGGUACCUUAGUCUUUAGGUAUCUUAGUCUGUCUAGGUAUCACCAAAACUGCUGAUGUGCAGGCCUGCAGCUCCCACCAAGGACACACACAGCCAUGGAGCACACAGUGCUGCCUUCUGACCCCUGCAAGGAACAAUGUUACUUCUCACGUUAAUGAAAAAUACCCAUACUGCUUCCUUCUGAGAUUACGGCCCGUACUUCUAUAUAUAAUGCAUAUGCCAUAUAUAAAACGUAAACACAUGCACACACUAUAUAUAUGCACACUAUAUAUAUAUCCCUUCCUCCCCAUCCCAUUUCCUUCUCACAGACCAAAUGUUCCCAGUGAGAGGACGGCAAAUUUCCAUCACAAAUGCUUUUCCCCUGACUGUUUUUUGUUUUCUAAGCCUGUGACAUGAAAGCAGACAUAAUAUUUUCAUUUUGGUUCUCUAUAAAUAAACAGAAAUCUCAUUUCCAGAAAGCAUUAGUGGAGCAAGUCAAGUCCAGAGGCAGAAGAUCACCCUGGUUCUCUGCUGCUGAGCCCCGCUGUGUCCCUAGGGUUGUGCUGGAACCAGUAAGGGGUUCACAAGGAAACACGGACCCCCUCAAAUUAAAGUACAAGCUAGGUCUGGUUCUGCUGCCUUGCUCUGUUUCCUUGGCUUUAAAUUACCCCUGGGGGUACAGGUCAUUCUAUGCAAGAGACGGAGCCUGAAGUGAGGUGUUCAUUCCCUGUGCCUUUUCCUAAUGACAGUGGUUCUGUGGGCCUCCAAGCUGAUGUGCUACUCUUAGAGAGCAAGGCAUUCAGAUUUAAAUGCUGGUACCAGGGGAAGAGGGACUUAUUCAGGCUGUGGCCCUCAGUGAGUGCCGUGCUCAUGGAUGUGGAACAGCUACUGCAUUUGGGUCACUGUAUUGAGCGCUCUCUGGGACAGGCAGAUGUCCUUGCUUAGUGCCCUGGCACUGGCUCUGGAAACAGUGCCCUACAGUGGUGCUGUAGCUCCUUGCAGUGCCACAGGUGGCCCAGCCUCACGGCCCAGUGUGCGCCCACAUGGUGUUUCGGGGUUUUUAAAGGGAAUUCUAAAGGAUCUCAGGAAUGUUAGAGGGUUUGAAAGCUUUCUGCUUUCGCAAGGUUUUUCCAGUGCUUGUUUACGGUUUAGAUGCUCAGAGCAAACAGAUGCUUGUUUAGAAGCAGGUCAGAAGUCCCAGACUUGUAGGAGACGCUGUCUGCCUUGUUUUCCACUGUUUAGUACCCAAAGCUAAGCACGUAAACUGCAUCUGUGAGGAACCUGAGAGGUUCCCCUGCCCCGGGCACAACUUCUCACUCACCCUGAGAUCCCUCGCAGCACACGUAGUGGGACACCAUCUCUGCACAAGCUGCAGAAACUUGUGCAAACAUCACUGCUUGUUUAGAAGGUGAGGAGCUAAAUGAUUUAUUAGUGUGCUCAGCAAUGAGGCUGAGAAGGUUCUUCUCAGGUUGGCUUUUAUCACUGACACCUUACGGGGUCACGGUUACUGGAAAAUUCCUCGUAACUGGAUAGUGGGAGGGAGGGAAGCGUGUGGAAUAGCCAUCUGAGGGGCAUGGCCCCACUCCGAUGACAUUGAAGGGGACAAGUUGCUGCCAUGACACUGGCAAUGAAUGGGUCUCUGCAGAGGUAAAAGAGCUGUAGGGCUUUUAUGAUAAGGUUGGGUUCUGCCUUUCAAAAGAAUGCCAGACCUGAAGAGCAGCAGAUAUUCUCUGGGUGGCCUGUGGGGUCAGCAGCCACAGAAAUAACCACGUUAUUUAAUUUUCCUACUCUGUUCCCAAUACUUUUCCAUUUGUAUGAUAUAUUCUUGGUUAGUAUAUAGCAUAAAUAUAUAGAGAGAAGGUAGAGCUCCCACACUCUAAGUGGUAAUAAAAUGCAGAACAAAGAGGGAGGUGGGAUUUGAAAUGAAGUCAGCCAGACUGAAAUAUCUGAAGCACCGUUUGUGUGAUGGCUGAAGGAAAACCAUUAGAGCAGGAGGGUAAUCCAGACAGUGAGUUCUGAAAGUGGCUGCAGAACAGGCCAUGGUCAAACAAAAGGAUCUCCUCCAUCCUUACAUUAACAUGCUUCUCAAAGCUCAGGGAAUCAGAGGAUAUUUUCUCUCCAAACUCCCUCAGCAUGGUUUGCCCUCUGCUAGUGACCCAACCUACAGCUAAGCCGUUUGCAACGGGAUGUGGAUUGCUUUCUGAUUGCUUAACUUUGGCAUGUUCCAUGAGCAUGCUGAGACUCUCACCCUUUGCAACAAAACCCCCUUUUGAAAGCACUUCAAAAGACCGAGUCCGGAUUUGUGAGAGAUACGGGAAAUUGCUGAGGAAAAUAUUUUACCAAGAGGAAAGCAGACAAACGCUUGGCAGGCAAGCAGUUUUGUUCCUGAUGAGGGAUGUAAGUCUGGGAUUUAGGAGAGCUGAGAAGAGCUGGAAGAAAUGUACAAGCUUCGAGGGGUACGAUAGACCCUCUGUUAUAAUGGUUUGCUUAAAUGUAACCUUGUGCUUUGUAGACAAAAUGCAUGCCACAGAUGUAUUUGAGAGCAUGAGGAUGAGGCCCUGGAAUAGGUUGCCCAGAAAGGCAUUGGAUGCCCCGUCCCUAUAGACAAUGAAGGUCAGGCUGGAUGGGGCUCUGAGCAACCUUUUCUUCUGUAGGUGUCCCUGUUCACUGCAGGGGAGUUGGACCAGAUGGCCUUCAAAGGGUCCCUUCCAACUCAAAUGAUUGUAUGGUUUUAAGUCACUGUGUGCACAGGGCUGUGGACCCCAAAGAUUCCCUGUGGGCCAAGAGCAGCUUGGUCAGUGCGGAUGAGCGCAAGCAGGCUUUGGCUGGGAUCCUUCCCAGUUUCCCUUCUGGUCUCUCUCCAUUUGUGAGUAAGCAGUGAAGGGGGUCCCGGAGCUCUCCUUGUGGAAAGCAGGAUGGUCCAACUUGGUAGCAAACAGAAUGACAAAAACGAAGCACUGGCUUUGGGGAGACUCCUGCAAAUCUCAUCAUUGCGCAAUGAAGGCAGUUCCCUUCACCAGAAUGACUCAGUGUUUACUGCUGCUCAGGGGGCUCUGCUGGUGCAAAAAAUGCAACCGUGGGUUAUGGGGACGUGGGUGAGAAACCUCGCUGUAAGUCAUGUCAAGUUUACUUAUUCAUUUGGAAUUAUCAUUUGUAGUCUCUUGGUAAUAAAUGCCUUACGUCUUAGUGUUCAUUUUCUCAUGUUUUUCCCAGUUCAAUCCUAGGACAAACAGAUUCUGAACGAAUUUUUGUCUGAGGAAGCCCAGAAGAUCCACUUUUAUGUAUUCUGAAUUGAAAGUGGUUUUCUUCACAACGGGAAAUAUAUCUCUUAAAACAUUGUUUCAAUGCUAGUUCACAUUUGCUUUAAUAUAAAUCCCUUUAUAAAUGAUGCCUUUCCUGUAGAGAAACUAUAAACGCAGUGAUUUCAAACAGCCAGCAUAGUGAGACACACAGGCCAUUCCUUCCUCAGAAAUGCAGAAUGCCUUUCAGACUUCACCAAGAUAACACCUGGUGUCACUGCUGACACGAGGAGGCUGAGGAGCACGAUGAUUUUUUUGCCACCCCUGCCCCUCUGAGACAGGUAACUCAUUCCCCAUGGGUUUGAGAAGGCUUGUAUUUCUGGUGGUCUGAAGUGCUUCUCUGAUACGGAACAAGAGAGAAGUCGGGGGAAGAAUGGCUUAAAGCCUAAUCUUCAUUUCUUUUUAUAUUUGUUUUUCUUCUUGAGUGUCAAAUUAUUAGGACUGCAUUUAAAGAGUUCUCUUGCUUUGUCUGAGUGAUUUGCUAAGCAGUUAACAAUUCAUUGCUAAUUAACAGAUAGUAUUUGGCAAGCCAGAGAGCUGAAAGGUAUUAAUUCAAUUGAUACCCAGUGAGCACCAUGCAUGCAAAGAGCAGAGUGAUUUCAGAACAGAGUGUCACAAUGAAUCUGAAUUUUUUGCCUUUUAAUCUGACAGCUAUUAGAUAAAUUUAAUUACAUCGGCACAGAGUGAAAUACCUGCAGCAAGUUUAAUAUUUCAGACCCAAUUCUUCUAGAUGUAACUUUGUGGAAAAUGUUGCCUUUUUGUUCCAAAUUAGCACGCUGAUACAAUUUGAGACACUGGAUGUUUCCCUGGAAAGGAAAUAGUCACCUUUCUGAUGGGCAAGGAUCAGUGCCUUGGUUCCAAUGAUAACCAUCCUUACACAUGCGAUGGAGUAUCCGUGCUUUCACAAACUGACUGAGAUGUGGAGAAAAACAGCCCAAAUAAUCCACAGUCCACACUUCCGACUGCAAUCACAAGGCACUGCUGCUGCCAUAAAAAUGGCCAAUGCUACUUUUGAACAUAACAAGUUGUGAAUGCACGUAACAGAGGUAAGUUGGCAUUAGAAACUGCUAUUACAAAUCACUGCUAAUAGCUGAAGCUGCAUUUCUAAAAAUAGUAGAUUUCAGUCAGCUUUUUUUUUUGUAAACAAGUUGCUCAAAUUUCUGGUAUUUCUUUAGGAAUUUCUCUCUUUGAAAGGGAAAGCAUAGUGUAUCUCAGCUAUUGUAUGUAUUCUUGUUUCUAGAUGCUGAAAUAUGUGUUUUGUGUUUUAAGGGCAACUGAUGUCUUAAAAUACCAGCUAACCAAAGUGGAAAUAGUAGCUCUUACACUCUUCUUGAAGUAAACACAGUUCCUUACUGUCCUCUAGUGGAAUAGUACAACCUUCACAAUCACCAAUGAACUUUCAAAGAAAAAAGUAAUUAAUACAAAAUUCAUUUGAUUGUAUGUGUUUCACUGUUCCUUACCCCAAACCUCUGCAAACUGCCUUUUGUACUUCAGCUGAAACACUAAUGCUCUUUGAAGUAAAUAAACCUUAUUGAACGGCCAUCUAAAUAAUGAUACAUACACCUAUAUGUCUGCAGACACAGGAGAUGCAUCAUGUUUCUAGUGACACAACUCUUAAGCUAUUGCUAGGCUGGCAGAUGCAGACCAAAAGAUGGGACACACCACAUUUUCAAGGGGGACUGGCAUCUUAGGUAGUAAGAUGCUCUAAUAAAUACACUCUGCAAUUUUUGCAGUACCAACAAGUGUAAUGUGAACCUAAGUGUAACUAUACUGAUGGACACAUGCCAAGGUAGAUACUUCCCCUAGGAUACUCUUCUAGUUUCCUGUAAACCAAGCUUAAAGAAUGUCUGAGGCAACAGUAUUAUCUUUAGCGCAUACCAUCCUUGAUGACUUUGUCCCAUCUUUCUCUUUUUAACCUGCCCAAACUGUGUGUAUCCAUAAUAUACUGCAGCAGUUCCACAGUAUCCAACAUUCAAUUGGAUAUGCAGGGAAACGCUCCUUUCCUCUUGUAAUGAAACCUUCUAUAUGAUGCUCCUUAGGAACAACCUUUCCUAUUUACAGAUUCCACACCUCUUGACUUCACCGGCAUUUAUUACAUCCCUUUUUUGGUGUGUCCUGUUCAGAUGCUUUGCAAAUUCUGCCGUCUCCCGUUCUUUUCUAGUUAUACUAGUGUCCCCCCUGACAGUGAAUUGUUAACUUUCUACUUUGCCUUCCAUCCCUUCUCAGAAACUUACAGUUAGGCUGAACACAACAGAUCCUAGCUGAAUUCUGUUAUAACUUCCUAUCGCUGUGGUGAUUUGAUAUUCCUUCAAACAGGGAUAAUCCAUGAGAUAACUUUCCCUUUCAUAUCCUGACAAAUUGGAUCUGCCAGGAGCUGAACCUUACUUUGAUACUAUCAGUGAAUCUAACAGACACCUAGAAUGACUUAUCUUUCAAUGUGGCAUAGACUCUGAUUUUAUCCAUAGCUCUGCAAAUCUUGCUCAAUAGGUUGUGGGGUUUUUUUUUCCCCUCUGGUUAAAUUCAGUGCUUGUACUAAUCCAUAAAACUAAUCAGGUGGCUGCUCCACUGUUCUCCUUGGAGUCUUUUUAAAAAUCCAAUAGUAGAAUCGUCACUAUGUAGUUCCCAAAUAGCAGAACUGCUUAGAAGUGACAAGUUCCAUGUUACAGUUAAGAGGUCAGCAGUUUCCUCCGACCUUCUAAUCUGUGGGAAUACCCCCCAGUCCUGGCAGCCUGCUGACACUCACUGCAUCCCCCUUUUCUACUACCUCACUUCACCACAGCUCCUCUUACUCUUCCUGCAAGGACAUUUCCUUAGGCACUUUUAUAAUGAACAUGGGUGCAAAAGACUUUUUCUUGUCAACUCCAGCGUUCACACACUAGUUUGAUCAUUUAACAAUGCACUGUAAAGCUUGCUCUCUGACACUUCUUAAGAACAGGAUUUAUAGUUAAAAAACUACUCUCUCAUGCAGUCUGUUCCACAAUAAAUUUUACAUUGGCUGCAUUAGUCUCCAUGUUUGUUAAUAUAAUUUCCUUGCGAGGCUUUCUCUAAUUAAAAGCAGCCUCCUGCCUAUCUUUCUCAAGGACUUUUUUUUUUUUUUUUUUCCUAAUUUUAAAGACUGGUAAACAUUUAUUCAGAGAAUAAAAUCAUUGAUGUAAAAUAUUUUUCAAGAUACCUGGAGCAUUUCUAAUUCUGGCUGCACCUACCGAUUUUCUGCAGAGUAUUCACGUUUCUCAGAAUGUUAGGUUCACCUUGGCAUGGAUUCUUCAACCUACUGCUAUACUGUGUAAACACUUAUUGUCAGCACAUAUUAGGAUACAUGGGAAUAUCUAAAGAUUUUCACUAUUAUUUGGCUUUCUGCCUUUGCCACGACAUAAGAUUUCCCUUUGUGAUGCUAAGACAAAAGUUAAUCAGCUAAGCAGCAUAGUACCCUAUUCUUAAGUGAUCCUGUCCGCCAAGGUAAAAAUAUUACCUGGCCUCCUUCAUUUUUUUCUUAGCCUCCAAACACAAGUAUGGAGUUAACAAUAAUCCCCACUGCAAAGAAUUAAAAUACCUCUGGAGAAGGAUUCUCUGGAGAAUCC